CCUAGGCCAUGCAUUGUACUAGUAAGGCCAGUGGCUCGAUGGAAUGGCCUCGGCCACAAAGGAGGCCUGGAAGAAGAGGAUGGCUCAGUAGUGGCAUGCAUUGUCUCUCCACAGCUACUGCAGCCAACAAUAACAGUAGCAAAACCAUCAUCAGACUGAGCCGAGCUCCUUGAGAGCUCCUGCUGAAGGAGUGAGUAGCAGCUCCUCAAAUGCUAAUUGUUUGGGAAAAAUUGAGGCCAAGCUGAGGUCAUCGGAAGGCUGAGCUAAGGUCAUCAGAAGGUCAAGCUG
rnacentral:lncRNA from 1 species